AUGGAGUCGUCGUCGGUGGCGAGCAGGCGGUGGAGCUGCAGGCUGGAGCUGAUGGCCAGCGCCUCGCCGGUCUUCACGCGGAGGGACUCAACGUCCAGCGCGUCCAGGCGGGACACCACGGGGUUGAACUGGAACGGCACGUCCAGCCGCUCCGCCUCCUUGGUGAGCGCCAUGGCCGUCUGCGAGAGCAGGUCCUUGUGCUCGUGCACGGCGGUGAGGCGGAAGUGCGGCGGGCCCUCGGGGCGCGCGGCGAGGAGGUGGAGCAGCUCGAGCCACUGCGUGGCGUCGGCGCCGCCGAGGUCGAUGACGUGCACGAUCUUCUCCGACUCCAUGGCCUCGAGGAUCGCCUGGUUGGCCGCCGCGCCGGCGAGGCGGAGGAAGGGGCAGAGGUCCAAGAAGUGUCGGCGCGCGACGGCGACCUCGGCGGGCGUGGGGCCCGCGCGGGGCAGGAGCAGCGCGCGGCACAGCCCGGGCCACGCACGGAGCGCGCGCCGGGCCAGCGCCUCCGCGAAGGCCGCGGCGACGCGCUGCAUGGCGUCCCCGUCGGGCGCCGCGAGCGUGGCGAUGUGCUCGAGCGCGGCGUUGGCGGCGUCGAGCCGGCCGGCCGAGGCCGCGGCGGCGCAGUUGAGCAGGAGGUGGAUGAGGCAGAGGCCGCGCUCGUCGGAGCGGAGCUCCCGGAGCAUCCAGGGCGGCGUGGCGCCUGCGCCGGCGCCGUUCGCGCCAGGGUGCGGGUGGAGCGGCAUGUUGGAGAAGUUGUGCAGCGGGGAGGAGGUGACCGACGAGGAGGAGCCUUCGUCCUGGUGGACCAUCAGCCUCGCCAGCGCUGCCGCCCGCUCUGCUCGGCGAUCCCGCUCGGCUCACGAAGCUACUAGCAAACUUGCUUCCUUUCCGUGUCUAUCUAUCUAUCUAUCUAUCUCUCCGAUGCCGGCCGUGGCGUGGUGGAUGACGGAGGAUUUAUACGGCGGCCGUCUCUGA
rnacentral:rRNA from 1 species